rnacentral:rRNA from 1 species
GACGAACGCUGGCGGCGUGCCUAAUACAUGCAAGUUGAGCGCUGAAGGUUGGUACUUGUACCAACUGGAUGAGCAGCGAACGGGUGAGUAACGCGUGGGGAAUCUGCCUUUGAGCGGGGGACAACAUUCGGAAACGAAUGCUAAUACCGCAUAAAAACUUUAAACACAAGUUUUAAGUUUGAAAGAUGCAAUUGCAUCACUCAAAGAUGAUCCCGCGUUGUAUUAGCUAGUUGGUGAGGUAAAGGCUCACCAAGGCGAUGAUACAUAGCCGACCUGAGAGGGUGAUCGGCCACAUUGGGACUGAGACACGGCCCAAACUCCUACGGGAGGCAGCAGUAGGGAAUCUUCGGCAAUGGACGAAAGUCUGACCGAGCAACGCCGCGUGAGUGAAGAAGGUUUUCGGAUCGUAAAACUCUGUUGGUAGAGAAGAACGUUGGUGAGAGUGGAAAGCUCAUCAAGUGACGGUAACUACCCAGAAAGGGACGGCUAACUACGU